rnacentral:snRNA from 1 species
GUGCUCGCUUCGGCAGCACAUAUACUAAAAUUGGAAUGAUACGGAGAAGAUUAGCAUGACCCGUGUGCAAGGAUGACAUGCAAAUUCAUGAAGCGUUCUGUAUUUUC